GAUGAACGCUGGCGGCGUGCCUAAUGCAUGCAAGUCGAGCGAACAGAUGAGGAGCUUGCUCCUCUGACGUUAGCGGCGGACGGGUGAGUAACACGUGGAUAACCUACCUAUAAGACUGGGAUGACUUCGGGAAACCGGAGCUAAUACCGGAUAAUAUAUUGAACCGCAUGGUUCAAUAGUGAAAGACGGUUUUGCUGUCACUUAUAGAUGGAUCCGCGCCGCAUUAGCUAGUUGGUAAGGUAACGGCUUACCAAGGCAACGAUGCGUAGCCGACCUGAGAGGGUGAUCGGCCACACUGGAACUGAGACACGGUCCAGACUCCUACGGGAGGCAGCAGUAGGGAAUCUUCCGCAAUGGGCGAAAGCCUGACGGAGCAACGCCGCGUGAGUGAUGAAGGUCUUCGGAUCGUAAAACUCUGUUAUUAGGGAAGAACAAAUGUGUAAGUAACUAUGCACGUCUUGACGGCACCUAAUCAGAAAGCCACGGCUAACUACGUG
rnacentral:rRNA from 1 species